rnacentral:rRNA from 1 species
AUAUUGGUCAAUGGACGCGAGUCUGAACCAGCCAAGUAGCGUGAAGGAUGACUGCCUAUGGGUUGUAAACUUCUUUUAUAUGGGAAUAAGUGGUCCACGUGUGGAUUUUUGUAUGUACCAUAUGAAUAAGGAUCGGCUAACUCCGUGCCAGCAGCCGCGGUAAUACGGAGGAUCCGAGCGUUAUCCGGAUUUAUUGGGUUUAAAGGGAGCGUAGGCGGAUUGUUAAGUCAGUUGUGAAAGUUUGCGGCUCAACCGUAAAAUUGCAGUUGAUACUGGCAGUCUUGAGUGCAGUAGAGGUGGGCGGAAUUCGUGGUGUAGCGGUGAAAUGCUU